UAGCCGCGGUAAUACGAAGGGUGCAAGCGUUACUCGGAAUUACUGGGCGUAAAGCGUGCGUAGGUGGUGGUUUAAGUCCGUUGUGAAAGCCCUGGGCUCAACCUGGGAAUUGCAGUGGAUACUGGGUCACUAGAGUGUGGUAGAGGAUAGUGGAAUUUCCGGUGUAGCAGUGAAAUGCGUAGAGAUCGGAAGGAACAUCUGUGGCGAAGGCGACUAUCUGGGCCAACACUGACACUGAGGCACGAAAGCGUGGGGAGCAAACAGGAUUAGAUACCCCCGUAGUCCCUGUCUCUUAUACACA
rnacentral:rRNA from 1 species